rnacentral:rRNA from 1 species
UGAGGAAUAUUGGGCAAUGCCCGCAAGGGUGACCCAGCAACGCCGCGUGGAGGAUGAAUGUCGUAAGAUUGUAAACUCCUGUUAGAGGGGAAGAAUAGUACCGGUUGGACCGGUAUAUGACUGUACCCUCAGAGAAAGCCCCGGCUAACUACGUGCCAGCAGCCGCGGUCAUACGUAGGGGGCAAGCGUUGUCCGGAUUUACUGGGUGUAAAGGGCGCGCAGGCGGGAUAAAAAGUCAGUGGUGAAAUCCUACAGCUUAACUGUAGAACUGCCUUUGAUACUUUUAUUCUUGAGUUCGGUAGAGAGAGACGGAAUUCCAGGUGUAGUGGUGAAAUACGUAUAUAUCUGGAAGAACACCAGUUGCGAAGGCGGUCUCUUGGUCCGACACUGACGCUGAGGCGCGAAAGCGUGGGGAGCAAACA